rnacentral:snoRNA from 1 species
GGUGAAGCAAAAAUAAAUAAAAUGUAAUAAAAGAUUUCUUCUUAUAUUCAUUUUAUUUAUUUUUGCAAUAAGAUGAACCUUAUAAUUUAGUCAUAGUUACUCUGAUUG